rnacentral:lncRNA from 1 species
GACGUGGAUUUGCACGUCUGGUUGCUAGGCCGUCUGAGGCUGCUCAGUGCAUGGCUACUGUGCUGUGUCCCCGCGUGUGCGUGUGUGCGCACGAGCGCCUGAGCAUUCAGCGGGGCCUGACCUGGAAUAUCAAAUCCACUCUGGAUAAAAGAGAGCUGCUGGCUGCUGUUCUGUUUCCCCUAACUCCCGGGGCUGCCUCGCCUUUGUGCCGAGCUGCUUGCAGCUAGGAGAGAUGUGGGGGCUCCCUUUCCCUCCAGGCCUGGAGAUGCCACUCUCCCACUCCAUCUGCUGCCUGGACCCACGGCAGGGACAGGGGCAUCUGCAGUCGGUGAACAUUAGGGGCCAAUUGCCAACUGAAAGAUGGGGGACCCAGGAGAGUGUGAGGUGGAGACCCAGGGGGACACACCAGGAGGGAGGCAGGUGGGGGAGACACUGUAAAGGAGUAGAAAGUACCAGGGACAGGGAGGCUGACUGAGAGAGUGGCUGGCAAGGAGUAAGAUCUGCAGAGAGUGGCAAGAAAAAUCUAAGGCUGGGAAGGUGAGAAGCAAUUGAGAGUGGGGCAGAUGUGGAGCUGCAGGGGCAAAGGGACAUAAACAGGGUGAGGCAGACAGUGGGAGAGUUGCCUCCAGCAGGCGCUGGGACCUAAGGGGAGGCGGAGCUGGUGCUUCUGAUCCCUGCCAGGGCUUGUGACACACGAGAGAUAGGAAAUGUGCUAAUUUGUGAUUUCAACCAGGUCCUCCAGCGUGUCUGCAGAAAAGCAGACCCCACUAAACGUCUCUCACCGUCUGUCAUCUUCAUUUCGCUUUUGUCUUCAGAAUAAAGAGAAUUAGAAACUCCUGAGUUCAAUGACGUGUCAUGGUCACAGUGCCUGUGUCGGGAGCUCCUGAGCUGGCCCUGUCCAGCUCCCUGGAAGGAGAUGCAACGCUCUUGCAGAAUUUUGAUGGUGGAAUUCACAUGCACCAGUAGGCCCUUUGGUUCCGACAUCCCAGAGGAAUUGAAAUUCUGGCUGCUCCUACCUAUUGGGGACCUGGAGACCAGCAAGUCUGAGGCUCCGUGUCCUGCAUUCCCCUGUCUGUCUCUGAUCUGUA